CGACACGCGAAUUCUAUCCUCAAGCAUUAAGUUUUCCACUCUUUGAUAUGCCUUCCGAUACAUCCACACAUCCCUGGAGCGGCGCAUCACGAUUUUGGUCUGCCAUUGGGAAGCGAUAACCAUCAACAAAAGGAUGGGAAAGGCGGAGAAGACCCGUGAAUUAUCGCCUUCUAUAGUCCGUUGACAAUAAUAUAUAAUAUAACGCCGGUCUCCCCCUCAAGCCCACCAUUUUCUUCCACAGGAUUAAGGAUCUGGAGGCAGAACUUGACGAUCUAUAUGGAGAAAGAAGAUGAUAACGCAAUGUGGGGGAGGUGAUGGUAAGGGGAUAAGGCGUCGAGAAAAUGGAAGCUGAUUAUAGAUAUGAUCGGUUGGCAUUAAGACGAUGAACCCUUCUCCCUCCUCUUUUUAUUUCGCUUUCUCUCUUUCCGUUUUCCAGCUUCCCCCUCCGCAUCUCCUGUGUCAGCCGUUCCUUGCCCUGUCUCACUCCAUGGCCACCAGCUGGAUGUCGCAUUUGCCAUUCUUUUUACAAUAUUGUUUCUUUCGACUUCCACUUCUUCGACCUCCUCAUUGUGCCCGGCUUCCAACCGUCGAAGAUAGCCGUUGUACUGCACAGCAAGGAACCACAAAACCGACAUGAUGAAUCCGGUAGUUCCUCUAUCAAGUACAUCAAUAUCCAAUCUCUUUCCUUGCUCCGACACAAUACGGUAUCAGAAGCACUCACAGCCAAUAAACAUCGACACCUUGUACAGUCUUCACAUCUCCUUCCGACUUGAGUCUAUGUGCCACCAUGAUAUCGGAGAUCAUCACGAUACAAGGGAAAAGUGGGCCGAAUAUGGGGACGAGUGUGCCGUACUUCAUAGUAAAUGGGGCGGAGGGGAAGUGCGACAGGGCGGAAGCAAAGCAAGAGGUUAGGAAGAAUAUUGCUGCGGCUGUUUAGUGUUCAGGAUCAUUGGAUGAGCAACCGAGAGUCAGUGCUACAUGUAAAAAGGAUAAAGGGAAUGAGAAACGUACAGACGAUGUGGAAGAUGAGAAGGCUACGAAUAGAUCCCCAAUACGGAGGGUUUACCUGGCCAGCAGACGAACAUCUGUAAGGCAAUAAUCGUCAACACGACUUUCGCCGUCAUCUCUUCCUCUAGCGAUCCCUCUCAACCGGAAGGAAGAAAAAAAAAAGAGAAAACGCGUACUCGGUCCCAUAUUGACAAUUUCCCAACGCCCCAAUGUCCCAAGCCCCCUCAUUUCCUUCAUAUUCGAUAUUUACCCAGUAGAAACCGGUCUUAUUUCCAGAGACCCCUGGUAAAACGAGGAAAAGAACUGUCGAAGUCGCGAAGAGGAGGACAAGAAGCCGGAUGAUGAUGAUGAGGUACUGAGAAGGUAGGGUUAAGAGGCAUGAAUACGAUCGACACAUGCUUUGAGCAUGACUCUGCUAGGUGUUUCUGCCGGAAA
rnacentral:sRNA from 1 species